rnacentral:rRNA from 1 species
CAAUAGCGUAUAUUAAAGCUGUUGCGGUUAAAAAGCUCGUAGUUGGAUUUCUGUCAAGGACAACUGGUCCGCCCUCCGGGUGAGCACAUAGUUUGGUCUUGGCAUCUUGCUGGAAGCUGUUGCUGCACUUGGCUGUGUGGCGCAGCGUCCAGCACUUUCACUUUGAGGAAAUUGGAGUGUUUCAAGCAGGAACAUGCCUUUGGACACAGUAGCAUGGAAUAAUUAGAUUGGGCUUUUGCUCCAAUUUGACGGUUUCUGGAGCUGAGGUGAGAAUUAAUGGGGAUUGUUGGGGGCAUCCGAAUUUAGCCGUCAGAGGUGAAAUUCUUGGAUCUGCUAAAGACGGACAACUGCGAAAGCGUUUGCCCAGGAUGUUUUCAUUGA